rnacentral:rRNA from 1 species
UACGGAAGGCAGCAGUGGGGAAUAUUGCACAAUGGGCGAAAGCCUGAUGCAGCUAUGCCGCGUGUAUGAAGAAGGCCUUAGGGUUGUAAAGUACUUUCAUCGGGGAGGAAAAAACAAAACUAAUAAUUUUAUUUCUUGACGUUACCCGAAAAAGAAGCACCGGCUAACUCCGUGCCAGCAGCCGCGGUAAUACGGAGGGUGCUAGCGUUAAUCAGAAUUACUGGCGUAAAGAGCACGUAGGUGGUUUUUUAAGUCAGAUGUGAAAUCCCUGGGCUUAACCUAGGAACUGCAUUUUGAAACUGAAAUACUAGAGUAUCGUAGAGGGAGGUAGAAUUCUAGGUGUAGCGGUGAAAUGCGUAGAUAUCUGGAGGAAUACCUGUGGCGAAAGCGGCCUCCUAAACGAAUACUGACACUGAGGUGCGAAAGCGUGGGGAGCAAACAGGGAUUAGAUACC